rnacentral:misc_RNA from 1 species
GAUGAAGAACGUAGCGACAUGCGAUAAGUAAUGUGAAUUGCAGAAUUCAGUGAAUCAUCGAAUCUUUGAACGCACAUUGCGCCCCUUGGUAUUCCGAGGGGCAUGCCCGUUCGAGCGUCAUUAUACCCCUCAAGCCUAGCUUGGUGUUGGGGCCUGCUGUUACCGGCAGCCCUUAAAAUCAGUGGCGGUGCCAUCUGGCUCUAAGCGUAGUAAUACUUCUCGCUACAGGGUCCCGGUGGAUGCUUGCCAUCAACCCCUAAUUUUCUAUGGUUGACCUCGGAUCGGGUAGGGAUACCCGCUGAACUUAAGCAUAUCAAUAAGCGGAGGA